rnacentral:rRNA from 1 species
AUUGAACGCUGGCGGCAGGCCUAACACAUGCAAGUCGAACGGUAACAGGAAGAAGCUUGCUUCUUUGCUGACGAGUGGCGGGCGGGUGAGUAAUGUCUGUGAAACUGCCUGAUGGAGGGGGAUAACUACUGGAAACGGUAGCUAAUACCGCAUAACGUCGCAAGACCAAAGAGGGGGACCUUCUGGCCUCUUGCCCUCGGAUGUGCCCAGAUGGGAUUAGCUAGUGGGUGGGGUAACGGCUCACCUAGGCGACGAUCCCUAGCUGGUCUGAGAGGAUGACCAGCCACACUGGAACUGAGACACGGUCCAGACUCCUACGGGAGGCAGCAGUGGGGAAUAUUGCACAAUGGGCGCAAGCCUGAUGCAGCCAUGCCGCGUGUAUGAAGAAGGCCUUCGGGUUGUAAAGUACUUUCAGCGGGGAGGAAGGGAGUAAAGUUAAUACCUUGGCGUAUUGACGUUACCCGAAGAAGAAGCACCGGCUAACUCCGUG